GGAGUCGGCCAGGCAGUCGCGUCAUUCCUUCGGGAAUGCCGAGGAAAGUCCGGGCUCCACAGGGCGAGGUGCCAGGUAACGCCUGGGCGGCGCAAGCCGACGGAAAGUGCAACAGAAAGAUACCGCCUACGUCUCCUUCGGGAGGCCGGUAAGGGUGAAAUGGUGCGGUAAGAGCGCACCGCGAGUCUGGCAACAGACCGGUACGGCAAACCCCACCUGGAGCAAGACCAAAUAGGGACCUAAUGACGUGGCCCGCGUCGGGUCCGGGUAGGUUGCUUGAGCGUCACGGUGACGUGGCGCCUAGAGGAAUGACUGCUCACGACAGAACCCGGCUUAUCGGCCGGCUCCGCCA
rnacentral:RNase_P_RNA from 1 species